AACGAACGCUGGCGGCAUGCCUUACACAUGCAAGUCGAACGGCAGCGGGGGAGAAGCUUGCUUUUCCUGCCGGCGAGUGGCGAACGGGUGAGUAAUACAUCGGAACGUGCCCUGUAGUGGGGGAUAACUAGUCGAAAGAUUAGCUAAUACCGCAUACGACCUGAGGGUGAAAGUGGGGGACCGCAAGGCCUCAUGCUAUAGGAGCGGCCGAUGUCUGAUUAGCUAGUUGGUGGGGUAAAGGCCUACCAAGGCGACGAUCAGUAGCUGGUCUGAGAGGACGAUCAGCCACACUGGGACUGAGACACGGCCCAGACUCCUACGGGAGGCAGCAGUGGGGAAUUUUGGACAAUGGGCGAAAGCCAGAUCCAGCAAUGCCGCGUGUGUGAAGAAGGCCUUCGGGUUGUAAAGCACUUUUGUCCGGAAAGAAAUGGCUCUGGUUAAUACCUGGGGUCGAUGACGGUACCGGAAGAAUAAGGACCGGCUAACUACGUGCCAGCCGCCGCGGUAA
rnacentral:rRNA from 1 species